rnacentral:rRNA from 1 species
CCUACGGGCGGCAGCAGUGAGGAAUAUUGGUCAAUGGACGAGAGUCUGAACCAGCCAAGUAGCGUGAAGGAUGACUGCCCUAUGGGUUGUAAACUUCUUUUAUAAAGGAAUAAAACGAGGCACGUGUGCCUUUUUGCAUGUACUUUAUGAAUAAGGAUCGGCUAACUCCGUGCCAGCAGCCGCGGUAAUACGGAGGAUCCGAGCGUUAUCCGGAUUUAUUGGGUUUAAAGGGAGCGUAGAUGGGUUGUUAAGUCAGUUGUGAAAGUUUGCGGCUCAACCGUAAAAUUGCAAUUGAUACUGGCAGUCUAGAGUACAGUUGAGGUAGGCGGAAUUCGUGGUGUAGCGGUGAAAUGCUUAGAUAGCACGAAGAACCCCGAUUGCGAAGGCAGCUUACUAAACUGUGACUGACAUUGAUGCUCGAAAGUGUGGGUAUCAAACAGGAUUAGAUACCCGGGUAGUC